rnacentral:rRNA from 1 species
GACGAACGCUGGCGGCGUGCUUAACACAUGCAAGUCGAACGGAAAGGCCCUGCUUGCAGGGUACUCGAGUGGCGAACGGGUGAGUAACACGUGGGUGAUCUGCCCUGCACUUCGGGAUAAGCCUGGGAAACUGGGUCUAAUACCGGAUAGGAGCCAUUUUUAGUGUGAUGGUUGGAAAGUUUUUUCGGUGUAGGAUGAGCUCGCGGCCUAUCAGCUUGUUGGUGGGGUAAUGGCCUACCAAGGCGGCGACGGGUAGCCGGCCUGAGAGGGUGGACGGCCACAUUGGGACUGGGAUACGGCCCAGACUCCUACGGGAGGCAGCAGUGGGGAAUAUUGCACAAUGGGCGCAAGCCUGAUGCAGCGACGCCGCGUGGGGGAUGACGGCCUUCGGGUUGUAAACCCCUUUCGCUAGGGACGAAGCUUUUUGUGACGGUACCUAGAUAAGAAGCACCGGCUAACUACGUG